rnacentral:rRNA from 1 species
AUUGAACGCUGGCGGCAGGCCUAACACAUGCAAGUCGAGCGAGCGGCGGACGGGUGAGUAAUGUCUGGGAAACUGCCUGAUGGAGGGGGAUAACUACUGGAAACGGUAGCUAAUACCGCAUACCAUCAGAUGUGCCCAGAAUGGAUUAGCUGGUGGGUGGGGUAACGGCUCACCUAGGCGACGUUCCCUAGCUGGUCUGAGAGGAUGACCAGGCACUCUGGAACUGAGACACGGCCCAGACCCCUACGUGAGGCAGCAGAGGGGAAGAUUGCACAAUGGGCGCAAGCCUGAUGCAGCCAUGCCGCGUGUGUGAAGAAGGCCUUCGGGUUGUAAAGCACUUUCAGCGGGGAGGCGUUACCCGCAGAAGAAGCACCGGCUAACUCCGUGCCAGCAGCCGCGGUGAUUC